GUGAGGAAUUUUCCGCAAUGGGCGAAAGCCUGAUCCAGCCAUGCCGCGUGAACGAUGAAGGCCUUCGGGUUGUAAAGUUCUUUAGCCGAUGAUUAUAAUGACUGUAGUCGGAAAAUAAGCCCCGGCUAACUUCGUGCCAGCAGCCGCGGUAAUACGAAGGGGGCGAGCGUUAUUCGGAAUCACUGGGCGUAAAGCGUGCGUAGGCGGUUUUGUAAGUUAGGAGUGAAAGCCCAGGGCUCAACCUUGGAAUUGCUCUUAAAACUGCAAGGCUCGAAUCUCGGAGAGGAUAGCGGAAUUUCCAGUGUAGCAGUGAAAUGCGUAGAUAUUGGAAGGAACACCAGUGGCGUAAGCGGCUAUCUGGACGAGUAUUGACGCUGAGGCACGAAAGCGUGGGGAUCAAACAGGAUUAGAAACCCUUGUAGUCC
rnacentral:rRNA from 1 species